ACUUUCUGUGAAGGCUGUGUUAAGUUUGAUGAUUUUCUUGUUAAAAAAAAAAAAUCAAAAGUGAUUUUAUUGUUUGUUUUCAUAACUGGGAUGAACAUUUAAGUAAGGGAAAGGCCAUGAAUUAGCAACUAGCAAAUCCGAAGAUAUUUAGAAUUAAAUCUAGGAUUAAUUCCAACAAAACCUUAUCAUCUUCUAACAGUUGGAGGAUUUUGUUGAGAUUUGUUGUUGCUGCUGAUUGGCCUUCUACUGUGUCCUCGGAUGAACUCUAACUCUUUUCAUCUGCCAAACUUAGGAAUUUGCGAAGCCAAGGCUUAUGAUGGAGCAUGCAUUAGUACCAGAAAUAAGGAUUUUGAGCACUGUGCUAAAUGGGUUGAUUUGAGCAGUGUGUUAAUUGUAGUACUUCGGGUGUUGAAAGAUUUGAAAAAGGCUAAGGAAAUGAUGAAUUGGGUUGAGAGCUAAAAUAUCAAACACACAGAGCAGUGCCGGCUUGAUGGCUAGGCCAGUAACGCGUUUGCCUUAGGCCACCAUUUUUGGGGGUGCCCAAUUUUUACCAUAAUAGGUUAAUAGAUUUUUUU